rnacentral:rRNA from 1 species
AUUGAACGCUGGCGGCAGGCCUAACACAUGCAAGUCGAACGGUAACAGAAAGCAGCUUGCUGCUUUGCUGACGAGUGGCGGACGGGUGAGUAAUGUCUGGGAAACUUCCUGAUGUAGGGGGAUAACUACUGGAAACGGUAGCUAAUACCGCAUAACGUCGCAAGACCAAAGAGGGGGACCUUCGGGCCUUUUGUCCUCGGAUGUGCCCAGAUGGGAUUAGCUAGUAGGUGGGGUAACGGCUCACCUAGGCGGCGAUCCCUAGCUGGUCUGAGAGGAUGACCAGCCACACUGGAACUGAGACACGGUCCAGACUCCUACGGGAGGCAGCAGUGGAGAAUAUUGCACAAUGGGCGCAAGCCUGAUGCAGCCAUGACGCGUGUAUGAAGAAGGCCUUCGGGUUGUAAAGUACUUUCAGCGGGGAGGAAGGGAGUAAAGUUAAUACCUGUGAACAUUGACGUUACCCGCAGAAGAAGCACCGGCUAACUCCGUG